UGGGGAAUCUUGGACAAUGGGGGCAACCCUGAUCCAGCGAUGCCGCGUGGGUGAAGAAGGCCUUCGGGUUGUAAAGCCCUUUAGGUUGGGAAGAAGUGUAUAGGUUGAUAAUGCUUAUACAUUGACGGUACCGACAGAAUAAGCACCGGCAAACUCUGUGCCAGCAGCCGCGGUAAUACAGAGGGUGCAAGCGUUAAUCGGAGUAACUGGGCGUAAAGGGCGCGUAGGCGGUGAGAUGAGUGUGAUGUGAAAGCCCCGGGCUUAACCUGGGAAGUGCAUCGCAAACGAUCUGACUGGAGUUUGGGAGAGGGUGGCGGAAUUUCCGGUGUAGCGGUGAAAUGCGUAGAGAUCGGAAGGAACGUCGAUGGCGAAGGCAGCCACCUGGCCCAAAACUGACGCU
rnacentral:rRNA from 1 species